rnacentral:rRNA from 1 species
AUUGAACGCUGGCGGCAGGCCUAACACAUGCAAGUCGAGCGGAUGAAGGGGGCUUGCUCCUGGAUUCAGCGGCGGACGGGUGAGUAAUGCCUAGGAAUCUGCCUGGUAGUGGGGGAUAACGUCCGGAAACGGGCGCUAAUACCGCAUACGUCCUGAGGGAGAAAGUGGGGGAUCUUCGGACCUCACGCUAUCAGAUGAGCCUAGGUCGGAUUAGCUAGUUGGUGGGGUAAAGGCCUACCAAGGCGACGAUCCGUAACUGGUCUGAGAGGAUGAUCAGUCACACUGGAACUGAGACACGGUCCAGACUCCUACGGGAGGCAGCAGUGGGGAAUAUUGGACAAUGGGCGAAAGCCUGAUCCAGCCAUGCCGCGUGUGUGAAGAAGGUCUUCGGAUUGUAAAGCACUUUGAGUUGGGAGGAAGGGCAGUAAGUUAAUACCUUGCUGUUUUGACGUUACCAACAGAAUAAGCACCGGCUAACUUCGUG